GGAUGUUCCGAGGGGUGCUCCGUCAGGGAGCUGAGAUACCGCAAGCGCGCAAUCCAAGGCGGAUUGCAAGGACCGCGGUGACCCUUUGAACCUGAUCCGGGUCAUGCCGGCGAAGGGACAGGGAUGCUUCAUAAG
rnacentral:ncRNA from 2 species